AAGGGGAAAUAAAGGCAUUCCCAUGAAUCUUUGGGCUUCCCACUCCCUGAGCCAAUAAAGAAGAGUUGGCUAGUAGGAAGGUCACACUAGCAGGUGACUUCUGUGCUUUUGGUUUGCUCACAACCAUCCACUCAGAAGUCUAUGUUUGUGUCCUAAACUCAACUCUGUCCUUUAGAAAGAGAUACAAACAUAAGGCCUGUCCCUCUCUGUGUUAGCUAAGAGCUCAGAAAAGGUAGCAUAGAACAGAAACAGGGAACAGACAUGAAGUCCAGAAUUUCACUGUAGUUAUACUAGUUAUACUCUUAGCUUUGAAAGUCGCUUAACUGAGUAUCAACCUAUGCUCUGAUUUGAUUGCCUUCCAAAGAUCUGUGUAUUAAAGACUUGGUUUUGAGCCUGAUACACUCUUGCAAGGCAACAACCUGGGGCAGUGACGACGGAUCAUUGGCAUAUGUAUGUGUUUGGGUGUGUGUAGGGGGUGUCGUCAAAGAGGAUUAUGAUAGUCCAAGUUGUUCUCACCCUCUGGCUCCCCUGAGGUGAAUGGUUGCUUUUUCUAUGGGUUUUCUACUGGCCUGUGUUGUCUUGCCAAGACCCAAAGCAAUGAGGACAGUUCCUCAUGAACUGAAAUCUUUGAAACUAUGAGUCAAUAUAAACCUUACUCUUUUUUAAUUCUAUUUAGCUCAAGUAUCUGUUAUAGUAACAAAAAGAUGAGUAGUUAACCUCCAUAUGAUGCCACAAGGGGUUAUUGAUACACCACAUAAUUUUUAGAUCACCACCAGAAUUAGGGAUUUGAAAUAAAGAUGCCAUUUCUAUUUUUCAUUUUUUUUAAGAGAGUAAUAAGCUCCGGGAAUUCUCACUCUAGUGUGUGAUGUGUGAUUUACCUUAUUCAGCCAAAGGAAGUUCAACAUUCAUCACGGAAAAUAACAUGAUGCUAUAGGAAAGUUAUCUUACACAUAGCUAACAAAUGCCUUUAAGAUGGCUGAUUGAACCAACCAGCUCUAGCAAGUCAAUAUACACCAUUUUAAUACUACUUAAUGUUAUCUGCAUUGGCUUGCCAGAACCAGAUACAAAUUCAUAUAAGACGUAAAUUAACAUAAUAUUGAAAAAUACUAUUUUUUCUUGUAAAGCUAAGUCUAUCCAAGAUUUCAAUAGUGCAAAAGCAUUUCAAUAGAACUUCUAAUAUAUUAAUCAUACGAUGGAAAACAUACAUGCUUUCGGCCUCAGCAGAAGUCAGCUAUGCUGUCAAGUGCAUUGGAGUCUCUUGCUUAGAUUUAACGAGAAAACAAUUUGAUCUCUAGCACUUUGUGCUGAGACCAAAAGAAGAGAGACCUUUGACUGUGAUCAAGAAAAUGUCUCAAGGAGGACUCACAUUGGGAUUUUUGGCAAAUCUGAUGAUAUAUAUUCAUGUUAUAUUUUUAUAUAAAAAAUCAAAGUGAUUGGAAAACAAUCAAGUCAUAACAUCUUGAUCACUUGUUAAUAUACCCACAAUUCCCUAGAACAGGGGCAACAGCUAGAGUUUAAUAAUUUCUUGCUUGCUGUCAAUCAUUUACAUUAAUCAGUGAGGUAUUGUCUAGAUACUUCUUUUGACUCUCUCCAUGUCUGACAUACGUGCUGCCCUUCACUGAGAAAAAUCUUAGGAAGCGCUGAGAAGUUUGUAGGAACAAGGUAUUUACCAUUGUGGGAUAAAAUAAAUACAGAUACAAACAAUCCAAUGUCUUGGAAAUUUAAUUAUUCGAAAUCUUACAGAGUGGUCUAAGUCUCCUGGCUUGCUUUGUUUGGUAGUCAGAGUGUCUGUGAGGAAGAGAUUUGGAGGUUAUUUGAUGAACUGAAAGGGCACUAGCUUAGGAGGUUCCUGGGAGCUUCCUGUCAGAGGGAUUGCCAGCCUACACUCACACUUCCUGCCCUUGCUCCGUUCUGGGACGUAUACUGCCUGACUAACAUCUGCUCAAAGCGGAGGAGCUGGCAAAUCCUGGGUCCUGAUCUUUUAGACGGCUCAACUGCUUCCUGGGAGUAAUGUUGCCCCUAUUGCUCCUUCCUACUGGUGAGCUGCUAAAGGGCUUAACAUGGAGGCUACGUGCACCCUGAAUAAAUAUCUGUUUACUUGGACAAGAUUAUCAUCCCCAACUCCUUACACUGCCAUGGCGUGAUUUUGAAGAAGCCAGAGGGGUUAUGGUCUCCAUCACUCUAAACAACUGGAAAACGAAGGACAAGAGGAAGAAAACGAAGGACAAGAGGAAGAAAACGAAGGACAAGAGGAAGAAAACGAAGGACAAGAGGAAGAAUUCCUAUGGUAGUUGCCCCAGAGCAUGGGGCCCAGCAAAAUCAGUCCUAUUAAGCAUGAGCCUUUGAAACAGUGGGCUCUCCAGUUCCUUCAUCUGUAGAGACUAACGAGCCUUGAGGAUCUGAUUCAGGGGCUUUGAACCUCAUCCUUAACUCCUUACGUCAUCCUGCAGGUCUGGUUUCAGAUGACCAAUUCUGCACCAACAUAGGUUAAUCUAGCCUCGAGGUGACCCUGAAGAGGAUGCAGCCAUGUGUGGCCUUUCCCAUUUCAAACUCUCUCUUGCUCAAUUCAUGGAGACUGUUUUCUGAGGCACUCAGGUAUGCCUUCUUUAGCUGAUUCAGUUUUCCAUUUCCAAAGCACUGUUAACAAAUUGGCAACCUUUGAGUUCUAUGACCAGAACCAUGUGAUCACACAUCACCCUUGACCUCCACUCUCAUUCAGUGUCUUUAUUUCCUCAACAGCUGAUUUUAUUGACUCUUGAUUUCUCUAAUAGAGACAGAACCUUUCUUUCAUCCCUUGCAGGGGUUCAUCUGGCAUCUUCAUAGUGCUCUUGACUUUGAGGGCCCCGCUACCCUCC
rnacentral:sRNA from 1 species